GAUGAACGCUGGCGGCGUGCCUAAUACAUGCAAGUCGAGCGAACAGAUAAGGAGCUUGCUCCUUUGACGUUAGCGGCGGACGGGUGAGUAACACGUGGGUAACCUACCUAUAAGACUGGAAUAACUCCGGGAAACCGGGGCUAAUGCCGGAUAACAUUUAGAACCGCAUGGUUCUAAAGUGAAAGAUGGUUUUGCUAUCACUUAUAGAUGGACCCGCGCCGUAUUAGCUAGUUGGUAAGGUAACGGCUUACCAAGGCAACGAUACGUAGCCGACCUGAGAGGGUGGUCGGCCACACGGGAAGUGAGACACGGUCCAGACUCCUACGGGAGGCAGCAGUAGGGAAUCUUCCGCAAUGGGCGAAAGCCUGACGGAGCAACGCCGCGUGAGUGAUGAAGGUCUUCGGAUCGUAAAACUCUGUUAUUAGGGAAGAACAAAUGUGUAAGUAACUGUGCACGUCUUGACGGUACCUAAUCAGAAAGCCACGGCUAACUACGUG
rnacentral:rRNA from 1 species